AGAGAGAGAGAGAGAGCUCAAUUUAAGUUGUUGAUUCUUAGAAGCUUCAAUCUUUGGCUUCUUGGGUUCUUUUACCCGUAGCUCCAGUAACCGGUCGCUGUCUAGUGGCUCCUGUGAGAGCUCAGAGGUCUUCCUCCGUAUGCGUUCGGUCUUCUUUGGAUAGGACACUAUUGUUUCUGGCAUGGGUGUAAAUGGAAACCGGUGAGGGGAACACUCUGAAGUUAGUAUUCUGAGAUGAAUGUUUACUCUGCCCAGCUCCAAAAGGGUUGUUUCCAGCUGAACCUGAACACUACCGAGGUCCCAAGCUCGAAGUGGCUAUAAUUGGAGCUGGGCUCGCAGGCAUGUCAACAGCAUUUGAGCUUUUGGAUCAAGGCCACGAGGUGGAUAUAUAAGAGUCAAGGCCUUUCAUUGGUGGAAAAGUGGGAUCCUAUGUUGAACGUUGAAACCACAUUGAAAUGGGACUCCAUGUUUUCUUUGGUUGCUACAGUAAUCUUUUCCGAUUAAUGAAAAAGGCGAACAAAUAUUGCUUGGUUGAACUGCUAUGACAUAUGGUGGGCGCAGACGAAAAUCUACUUGUCAAGGAUCGUACUUAAAUCAGGAAAACCAGUAAAGAAAAAAAUUCAUAUGUUUUCUUCCUUUAUCAUUUAGAGAGCUUCUUGAAGUGAACCAAAUUGUAAUGGAGCUUAUUGCUCAAUUAAAUUUCUGUUACUGGUUUCCUGUAUAAUACUGUUCAAAUGCAGACUUAUGAUAAAGCAAGAAAUGCAGUGGCUCUUGCAUUAAGUCCAGUUGUGAAGGCUCUGGUUGAUCCAGAUGGAGCAUUGUGAAGGCUCUAAUAAAUCGUAAUCUGCUGUACCAUUCUCCGAGAUUAUGGUGUUAAUGAGAUGCCGAAUAUGCAAAUGUAAGCAAUCAAUAUAAAUAAAAACUCCAAAGGUAAGAACGAUUUACAUUUUGUAUAUAUAUUCAAGCAUUACCACCUCAUCUAUCAUUUCUAUAAUCUCAGCAUGUCAAAGAAACAGUUUCUGCAUAAGUUCCAAACUCCACUUCUCCAAUGCCUCAGGUAGAACAGAAUGGUUUGUAU